UUCCUCCCUUCUCUUUUCUGCAAACCACAAACCUUAAAUCUUACCUUGGGAGACAUCCAUGGGAGAUUGCUUGGUAAUUUGUCCCGGUAGUUCCAUGGGGCUUACCGGCCUGUUUCCAGCCAGCCCCAUGAAAGCAAAGGCAUGAGAGGGACUAUGCAAGGCUGCCAGGGAUUCCCUGUCUACUCUGGGCACAUCCCACUAAGCACGAGGCCCUGAUACAUGUUGGCCAGAGAAGGCUGCCUGCUGCUCCCCAUUUCACAAUAUCUUGAUGAAAUGUGGUUCAAAAGGGCACCAAUGAGGCUUACACAAUCCCCCACUCCUUCAGGAUUAAGAAACUAAAGCAUGUUUCUGGCUCCUCUGCAGCCCAAAUGGGGAAUCCUAUCAACUCCAUAGCCCCUUGGAACUCCCAGUGGGGGAAACCUAAACCCGAGGCCCACUUUAGCCUUCUUUCCCCAAGGAGGUCUUAUUGGCCUGCUCUAUGCUUAGCUUUCCAUUAUUGCACUGGUCUGGCAAUCCAGGUGACAAAAAUCUAGCAGAGCCAUUGCUGGGAAUACAGGUGAAGUGGCUGGGACAGUGGUACAUCUUCAGAAAGUUACGGUUCCAACACUAAUAAAUGAAGGGGUUGGAUUUCACUUCUGUUGAUGGUUCCAAUACCCAGAUAUAUUUGGCAACCAUUUCCCUAGACUCACUCUAAGACUUUGCUGAUCAACACCUCUGUUAAUGACCCCAAAUCUGUACAUGGACAAGAGCUGUAAAUACAACAUGAAAUAUUAGCCAGUGUGAAAAGCCUUCUGUUAUCUUAUCGAUGUAAGGAUUUGCAGUAUGAUCUUAUUACUUCUCUCUCUCAUCACUCAUUUUCUCCCUCUGAACAUGCAGAAGAGAUUAAAUAGCUAAAGAGAGCAAAUGACUACAUUCUAACGCAGAAGGCUAUCGGAUCAAACCCUCUAUUUUUCUGUGUACUUUUUGAUGGCCUGUGAAUUGACUUAAUCAAACUGGAAAUGUAUAUGCUAUCUAAAUAAUCU
rnacentral:lncRNA from 1 species